rnacentral:tRNA from 1 species
GGUCGAUUAGCUUAGUCGGUAGAGCGUGGUACUAAUAGCUAAAGCGUUGAGAUGCCAAGGUCGUGGGUUCGAUCCCCACAUUGACCA